AGGGGUAUGUUACUUUCGGGUAACAGAGACCGGCGCACGGGUGCGUAACGCGUAUGCAACCUACCUUAUACUGGGAGAUAGCCCGUGGAAACAUGGAUUAAUACCCCAUAACACUAUCGGAUCGCAUGGUUUGAUAGUUAAAGUUCCGACGGUAUAAGAUGGGCAUGCGUAUGAUUAGCUAGUUGGUGAGGUAAUGGCUCACCAAGGCGACGAUCAUUAGGGGGUCUGAGAGGAUGAUCCCCCACACUGGUACUGAGACACGGACCAGACUCCUACGGGAGGCAGCAGUAGGGAAUAUUGGUCAAUGGACGAGAGUCUGAACCAGCCAUGCCGCGUGAAGGAAGACGGCCUUCUGGGUUGUAAACUUCUUUUAUCAACGAACAAAAAGUCCCUGCGGGGAAAAUUGAGUGUAGCUGAUGAAUAAGCACCGGCUAACUCCGUGCCAGCAGCCGCGGUAAUACGGAGGGUGCAAGCGUUGUCCGGAUUUAUUGGGUUUAAAGGGUGCGUAGGCGGGAUAUUAAGUCAGUGGUGAAAGCCCACAGCUCAACUGUGGAACUGCCAUUGAUACUGAUAUUCUUGAGUACGGAUGAGGUAAGCGGAAUUUAUGGUGUAGCGGUGAAAUGCAUAGAUACCAUAAAGAACACCGAUAGCGAAGGCAGCUUACUAGGCCGUAACUGACGCUGAGGCACGAAAGCGUGGGGAGCGAACAGGAUUAGAUACCCUGGUAGUCCACGCCGUAAACGAUGCUCACUCGGUGUUGGCGAUAUACCGUCAGCGCCCAAGCGAAAGCGUUAAGUGAGC
rnacentral:rRNA from 1 species